ACGGGUGAGUAACGCGUGGGAACGUACCUUUUGGUUCGGAACAACACAGGGAAACUUGUGCUAAUACCGGAUAAGCCCUUACGGGGAAAGAUUUAUCGCCGAAAGAUCGGCCCGCGUCUGAUUAGCUAGUUGGUGAGGUAACGGCUCACCAAGGCGACGAUCAGUAGCUGGUCUGAGAGGAUGAUCAGCCACAUUGGGACUGAGACACGGCCCAAACUCCUACGGGAGGCAGCAGUGGGGAAUAUUGGACAAUGGGCGCAAGCCUGAUCCAGCCAUGCCGCGUGAGUGAUGAAGGCCCUAGGGUUGUAAAGCUCUUUUGUGCGGGAAGAUAAUGACGGUACCGCAAGAAUAAGCCCCGGCUAACUUCGUGCCAGCAGCCGCGGUAAUACGAAGGGGGCUAGCGUUGCUCGGAAUCACUGGGCGUAAAGGGUGCGUAGGCGGGUCUUUAAGUCAGGGGUGAAAUCCUGGAGCUCAACUCCAGAACUGCCUUUGAUACUGAGGAUCUUGAGUUCGGGAGAGGUGAGUGGAACUGCGAGU
rnacentral:rRNA from 1 species